CAAGUUGGAAUGAGUAAAGAUGUUCCAUCUAAACGUCCUGCUUCCCUCCCUGAGGACACGGAUGCUCAAAACAUGAAUGACAAUACCAUGGUGAUGAACCUUGAUCAGCUGUGUAAAGUAUUGGAAGCAUUGAAGAUGGUGGAUUAUGGAAACGAUGGGAAUUAUGGGAACAGUGUUAAAUAUCAAGUUGGAACAAGUAAAGAUGUUCCAUCUAAACAUCCUGCUUCCCUCCCUGAGGACACAGAUGUUCAAAACAAGAAUGACAAUACCAUGAUGAUGAACCUUGAUCAGCUGUGUAAAGUAUUUGAAGCAUUGAAGACGGUAGAUAAUGGAAACAAUGGGAAUUACAAGCACAGUGUUAAAUAUCAAGUUGGAACAAGUAAA
rnacentral:lncRNA from 1 species